GUGGGUGUGGCUCAGCUGGUAGAAUAUUUGCCUAGCAUGCAUGAAACCCUGAGUUCUAUCCCCAGCUCUCAUA
rnacentral:tRNA from 1 species